UGUGUUAGCGUGUGUGAUGUGUGCUUGUGUGAUGUGUUUUCGUGUGUGUGAUUGUUAGUGUGUGUGAUGUGUGCUUGUGUGAUGUGUUUUAGCACGUGUGAUGUGUGUUAGUGUGUGAUGUGUGUGUUAGUGUGUGAUGUGUGUUAGCGUGUGUGAUGUGUGCUUGUGUGAUGUGUUUUCGUGUGUGUGAUGUGUGUUUGUGUGAUGUGUUAGCGUGUGUGAUGUGUGCUUGUGUGAUGUGUUUUUGUGUGUGUGAUGUGUUAGUGUGUGUGAUGUGUGUUUGUGUGAUGUGUGUUAGCGUGUGUGAUGUGUGCUUGUGUGAUGUGUUUUUGUGUGUGUGAUGUGUUAGUGUGUGUGAUGUGUGCUUGUGUGACGUGUUUUAGCACGUGUGAUGUGUGUUAGUGUGUGAUGUGUGUUAGUGUGUGAUGUGUGUUAGCGUGUGUGAUGUGUGCUUGUGUGAUGUGUUUUUGUGUGUGUGAUGUGUUAGUGUGUGUGAUGUGUGCUUGUGUGAUGUGUUUUCGUGUGUGUGAUGUGUUAGUGUGUGUGAUGUGUGCUUGUGUGAUGUGUUUUAGCACGUGUGAUGUGUGUUAGUGUGUGAUGUGUGUUAGUGUGUGAUGUGUGUUAGCGUGCGUGAUGUGUGCUUGUGUGAUGUGUUUUCGUGUGUGAUGUGUGUUAGUG
rnacentral:lncRNA from 1 species